rnacentral:rRNA from 1 species
CAAGCGAACGAGAAUCUGGAGGUUCAAGUUUUACGGACAAGAAUUUACGGAGGAAAGUGGCGGAAGGGUGAGUACAACAUGGAUAAUUCUACCUUCAAGUUGGGUAUAGCUUCCCGAAAGGGGAGAUAAUCCCGAAUGUGGUGAUCCGGCGCCUGUCGGAGAAUCCAAAGGUGGGGACCGCAAGGCCUGCCGCUUGAAGAUGAGUCCGUGCACUAUCAGCUAGUUGGUGAGGUAAUGGCUCACCAAGGCGAUGACGGUUAGCUGGUCUGAGAGGAUGGUCAGCCACACUGGGACUGAGAUACUGCCCAGACUCCUACGGGAGGCUGCAGUCGAGAAUCAUUCGCAAUGGGCGCAAGCCUGACGGUGCGACGUCGCGUGGAGGAUGAAGGUCUUCGGAUUGUAAACUCCUGUCAUGUGGGAUAAAUGGCCAGGGCAUGAAUAGUGCCUUGGAAUGAUAGUACCACAGGAGGAAGGGACGGCUAACUCUGUG